GACAGAGGGUGCAAACGUUGUUCGGAAUUACUGGGCGUAAAGCGCGUGUAGGCGGCCCAGCAAGUCGGAUGUGAAAGCCCUGGGCUUAACCUAGGAAGUGCAUUCGAAACUGCUGGGCUUGAGUUCUGGAGAGGAAGGCGGAAUUCUUGGUGUAGCGGUGAAAUGCGUAGAUAUCAAGAGGAACACCUGAGGUGAAGACGGGUUGCUGGGCUGACACUGACGCUGAGGCGCGAAAGCCAGGGGAGCAAACGGG
rnacentral:rRNA from 1 species